rnacentral:rRNA from 1 species
UACGUAGGGUGGGAGCGGUGUCCGGAAUUACUGGGCGUAAAGAGCUCGUAGGUGGGUUGUCGCGUUGUUCGUGAAAUCUCACGGCUUAACUGUGAGCGUGCGGGCGAUACGGGCAGACUGGAGUACUGCAGGGGAGACUGGAAUUCCUGGUGUAGCGGUGGAAUGCGCAGAUAUCAGGAGGAACACCGGUGGAGAAUGUGGUGCUUUGGGCAGUAACUGACGCUGAGGAGCGAAAGCGUGGGGAGCGAACAGG